UAGAGUUUGAUCCUGGCUCAGGAUGAACGCUGGCGGCGUGCUUAACACAUGCAAGUCGAACGUGAAGCCCGGUACCUAGUAUUGGGUGGAAAGUGGCGGACGGGUGCGUAACACGUUGGUGACCUGCCCCGAGGUGGGGGAUAACCGUGGGAAACCACGGCUAAUACCCCGGAUGCCAAAGUAUUUAGAAAGCUUUGGCUAAAGCUCCGGCGCCUCGGGAGGGGCCUGCGGGCUAUCAGCUUGUUGGUGGGGUAAUGGCCUACCAAGGCAAAGACGGCUAGGGGGCGUGAGAGCGCGACCCCCCACAAUGGAACUGAGACACGGUCCAUACUCCUACGGGAGGCAGCAGUGAGGAAUAUUGCGCAAUGGGGGCAACCCUGACGCAGCAACGCCGCGUGGAUGAUGAAGGCCUUCGGGUUGUAAAAUCCUUUUCCGGGGGAAGAAUCAUGACGGUACCUCGGGAAUAAGUCCCGGCUAACUACGUGCCAGCAGCCGCGGUAAAACGUAGGGGGCGAGCGUUAUCCGGAUUUACUGGGCGUAAAGCGCACGUAGGCGGCGCUGUAAGUUGGGCGUGAAAGCUCCCGGCUCAACUGGGAGAGGUCGUUCAAAACUGCAGUGCUUGAGGUUGGAAGAGGAGAGUGGAAUUCCCGGUGUAGUGGUGGAAUGCGUAGAUAUCGGGAGGAACACCAGUGGCGAAGGCGGCUCUCUGGUCCAACCCUGACGCUGAGGUGCGAAAGCGUGGGGAGCGAACGGGAUUAGAUACCCCGGUAGUCCACGCUGUAAACGAUGGAUGCUAGGUGUGGGAGGUUACUUACCCCUUCCGUGCCGUAGCUAACGUGAUAAGUAUCCCGCCUGGGGACUACGGCCGCAAGGUUAAAACUCAAAG
rnacentral:rRNA from 1 species